rnacentral:rRNA from 1 species
GGAGUCUGGUCCGUGUCUCAGUACCAGUGUGGGGGACCUUCCUCUCAGAACCCCUACGCAUCGUCGCCUUGGUGGGCCGUUGCCCCGCCAACAAGCUAAUGCGCCGCAUGCCCAUCCCUGGACGAAGUUCUAUCACGCCGAAGUCAUGCGGCCUCGGCGCAUACGGGGUAUUAGGCCGCGUUUCCGCGGGUUAUCCCCCAACCAGGGGCAGGUUGCAUACGUGUUACUCACCAGUGCGCCGGUCGCCAUCAGAAGUAUUGCUACCUCCAUGCUGCCCCUCGACUUGCAUGUGUUAAGCCUGUCGCUAGCGUUCAUC